UCUGCACUAGAAACUAGACUAAAAAUACUUGGUAAGAUUUUGUGUUUUUGCAGUGCACUUGAUUGAAAUGGAAGGAAAUUAUUUGAAAACUUUAUUAUUGCCCCCUUGAUGUCUUUUUUCACUGCGUUUGUGUCGUGGUGCUUUUCUGUUGCAGGUAGAUGUAAUAAAUGCCCAAACUGCUGUGACAAAGGGUCAGAUGAGGUCAAGGGGAAAAUCUUAAAGUGUUUGGAACAGAAACCAGGACCAGCCUGUGAUAAACACUUCUAUCUUGUUGAGGUCAAAGGUGGUAAAACGUUUUGCAUCAACCCGAAAUCCCAAUGGCUGAAAAACAAGAGAAACCAGGAAGGGUUAAGCUGCAGCUCAACUGACGAGCGUCGUCGGCACAAAUUAGAUGUUGGAGCAAAAACAAAAGGAAAGAAACAUCAACUUCCCUUUAUUAAAACAAGAAAAUAAUUAGAAACAUGCUUAAGAAAUAUUAACAAUGCAGAAAUAUUUUGGUUGUUGGUCAAAAUCAUCCAAUUGUUUUGGUCAGCUCUGGUCAAAAAGGGAAGCAGUAGAAAAUCUGAUUGUUUUUCCCGGUAAUUAAACGCGUCGUUUUUUGUUUUUUACAUUUGGGAUUAUUGUUCCAGCUGAGAAGCAAAAUCUUUGGUUUGUGAUCUUUCACUUCUCAGCUUUGCAGCAAGAACGCUCACCUUUGGUGUGGCGCUAAAAUGAUCAAAAACAUGCUAAUGUUCGAGUAGGCUAGCUAAAGUUAGCAUAUUAGCAUGCUAAUUAUUGUGACUUUUUGUAUGACUGUUGCCAAAUGUCCAUCUGAGCCAGCAGGUCAGUUUGAAAGAUUAUAGGGAAACUGUGCAGCAGUCAAUAAAAAUUCAAAUAUAUGUUGUAUGUUAUUGUGUAUAUUAUUAUUGUUAUUAUUAUUUUUAUUAUUGUUAUUAUUAUUUGUAUUAUUAUUAUUAUUUGCUGUUUGUUGUUAUUAUAAGUUACAAGUUGCAUCAGAAUAACUGAAUCUUGAAGAAAUCUUGGCCCAACGUCAGUAAACUUUGGACACAGACUCUUUAAGGCACAGGUCUCAAACUCCAGGCCUCCAGUCGCUGUCCAGUUU